CUACGGGCUGCUCCAGUGGGGAAUAUUGCACAAUGGAGGAAACUCUGAUGCAGCAACGCCGCGUGGAGGAUGACACUUUUCGGAGCGUAAACUCCUUUUAUAUAGGAAGAAGAUGACGGUACUAUAUGAAUAAGCGCCGGCUAACUCCGUGCCAGCAGCCGCGGUAAUACGGAGGGCGCAAGCGUUACUCGGAAUCACUGGGCGUAAAGAGCGUGUAGGCGGAUUAAAAAGUCAGAAGUGAAAUCCUAUAGCUUAACUAUAGAACUGCUUCUGAAACUCUUAAUCUAGAAUAUGGGAGAGGUAGAUGGAAUUUCUGGUGUAGGGGUAAAAUCCGUAGAGAUCAGAAGGAAUACCGAUUACGAAGGCGAUCUACUAGAACAUUAUUGACGCUGAGACGCGAAAGCGUGGGGAGCAAACAGGAUUAGAUACCCUCGUAGUC
rnacentral:rRNA from 1 species